rnacentral:rRNA from 1 species
AUUGAACGCCGGCGGAAUGCUUUACACAUGCAAGUCGAACGGUAGAGGGGGCAACCCCUCGAGAGUGGCGAACGGGUGAGUAAUAUAUCGGAACGUGCCCAGUCGUGGGGGAUAACGUAGCGAAAGUUACGCUAAUACCGCAUACGAUCUAAGGAUGAAAGCGGGGGAUCGCAAGACCUCGCGCGAUUGGAGCGGCCGAUAUCAGAUUAGGUAGUUGGUGGGGUAAAGGCUCACCAAGCCAACGAUCUGUAGCUGGUCUGAGAGGACGACCAGCCACACUGGAACUGAGACACGGUCCAGACUCCUACGGGAGGCAGCAGUGGGGAAUUUUGGACAAUGGACGCAAGUCUGAUCCAGCCAUUCCGCGUGCAGGAUGAAGGCCCUCGGGUUGUAAACUGCUCUUGUACGGAACGAAAAGGUCUCUCUUAAUACGGGGGGCUCAUGACGGUACCGUAAGAAUAAGCACCGGCUAACUACGUGCCAGCAGCCGCGGUAA